AGCGGCGGAUGGGUGAGUAACACGUGGGGAACCUGCCCCUAAGUCUGGGACACCAUUUGGAAACAGGUGCUAAUACCGGAUAAUAAAGCAGAUCGCAUGAUCAGCUUUUGAAAGGCGGCGUAAGCUGUCGCUAAGGGAUGGCCCCGCGGUGCAUUAGCUAGUUGGUAAGGUAACGGCUUACCAAGGCGACGAUGCAUAGCCGAGUUGAGAGACUGAUCGGCCACAUUGGGACUGAGACACGGCCCAAACUCCUACGGGAGGCAGCAGUAGGGAAUCUCCCACAAUGGACGCAAGUCUGAUGGAGCAACGCCGCGUGAGUGAAGAAGGUUUUCGGAUCGUAAAGCUCUGUUGUUGGUGAAGAAGGAUAGAGGUAGUAACUGGCCUUUAUUUGACGGUAAUCAACCAGAAAGUCACGGCUAACUACGUGCCAGCAGCCGCGGUAAUACGUAGGUGGCAAGCGUUGUCCGGAUUUAUUGGGCGUAAAGCGAGCGCAGGCGGAAAAAUAAGUCUAAUGUGAAAGCCCUCGGCUUAACCGAGGAACUGCAUCGGAAACUGUUUUUCUUGAGUGCAGAAGAGGAGAGUGGAACUCCAUGUGUAGCGGUGGAAUGCGUAGAUAUAUGGAAGACCACCAGUGGCGAAGGCGGCUCUCUGGUCUGCAACUGACGCUGAGGCUCGAAAGCAUGGGUAGCGAACAGGAUUAGAUACCCUGGUAGUCCAUGCCGUAAACGAUGAGUGCUAAGUGU
rnacentral:rRNA from 1 species